GAUGAACGCUGGCGGCGUGCCUAAUACAUGCAAGUCGAGCGAACAGACGAGGAGCUUGCUCCUCUGGCGUUAGCGGCGGACGGGUGAGUAACACGUGGAUAACCUACCUAUAAGACUGGGAUAACUUCGGGAAACCGGAGCUAAUACCGUAUAACAUGUUGAACCGCAUGGUUCAACAGUGAAAGACGGUCUUGCUGUCACUUAUAGAUGGAUCCGCGCCGCAUUAGCUAGUUGGUAAGGUAACGGCUUACCAAGGCAACGAUGCGUAGCCGACCUGAGAGGGUGAUCGGCCACACUGGAACUGAGACACGGUCCAGACUCCUACGGGAGGCAGCAGUAGGGAAUCUUCCGCAAUGGGCGAAAGCCUGACGGAGCAACGCCGCGUGAGUGAAGAAGGUCUUCGGAUCGUAAAACUCUGUUAUUAGGGAAGAACAAAUGUGUAAGUAACUAUGCACGUCUUGACGGUACCUAAUCAGAAAGCCACGGCUAACUACGUG
rnacentral:rRNA from 1 species